rnacentral:pre_miRNA from 1 species
UUUGGUUUGAGGGAGAGAAAGUGGGAGGAAAGAAAAUUACGCAAAUCAAUGAAUGAAUUUGGACUAAAGUUAGUCUAGGUUCAUUCAUUGAUUUGCGUAAUUUUCUUUCCUUUCACUUUCUCUUCCUCAAACCC